AGGAAGCUAAGGCACCAGCAAAAAACGGCAGAAAAUACUAAAAACGUACUAUGAACUGUAGACGGAUAGAGGUAAUGUUCUGUGUGCACAUCUCCUCGAACCCUGCAGUCAGGUGAGACUUUUCCUUUCAAGAAAUAGUACAGGAUGAUGUGACGGAGAGACACAAAUAAAACCGAGACGUCGUAACAAAAAGCUCAAGACCUACUUUCAAAUGUUCAGGCUGAACACCCUUUCGAAGCUGGGCAAACGUUGGCCCAUUCCAAUCGAGCUGUUUGCAGACGAAAUUCACCGGCGGGGGUCAAGUCCAAUGAUAAGAGGAGUGAGAAGGAAACUAUUCGUCAUGACUGGUUUACUCAGGGGUCCUGAGAGCAAGGCCUUUCAUCACUGUCUGGGAGGAGAGAGGGAGCAUACAGAUACUGAGAGAGACAACUCUCCAAUCUGUUGUCGAAGCAUCGGGCUGUGAUCAGGACUGUAGCAGCCGAGGUGAGAAAGCAGGUUUGAUAUUCACUGCUAAGCUUCUCUCUCCUCAUCUCCCUACAGGACUGUAGCAGCCGAGGUGAGAAGUUUAGUUUGAUAUUCACUGCUAAGCUUCUCUCUCCUCAUCUCCCUACAGGACUGUAGCAGCCGAGGUGAGAAGUUUAGUUUGAUAUUCACUGCUAAGCUUCUCUCUCCUCAUCUCCCUACAGGACUGUAGCA